rnacentral:rRNA from 1 species
CCUACGGGAGGCAGCAGUGAGGACUAUUGGUCAAUGGGCGGGAGCCUGAACCAGCCAAGCCGCGUUAGGGAAGAAGGUACAGCGUAUCGUAAACCUCUUUUGUCAGGGAACAAAGGCGGGGACUAGUCCCCGGAUGCGGGUACCUGCAGAAAAAGCAUCGGCUAACUCCGUGCCAGCAGCCGCGGUAAUACGGAGGAUGCGAGCGUUAUCCGGAUUUAGUGGGUUUAAAGGGUGAGCAGGCGGCUGGUUAAGUCAGCGGUAAAAGCCCGGGGCUAAACCCCGGCGAGCCGUUGAAACUGGCUGGCGGGAGUUGGAGAGAGGGAAGCGGAAUGCGCGGUGUAGCGGUGAAAUGCUUAGAUAUCGCGAAGAACCCCGAUUGCGAAGGCAGCGUACCGGCUCCACACUGACGCUGAGGCACGAAAGCGUGGGUAUCGAACAGGAUUAGAUACCCUUGUAGUC